rnacentral:lncRNA from 1 species
GGGAGUGGCAAGGAGGCGAAACGGAUAGGCGAGAACCAAGCCGGACUCGAGCGUACCUGACUCUGUGAAGCGGCUUGAGCCGAAGCUGCUGUUCGGAGACCUCUCCAUGCCCCGGAGUUCCGAGCGCCGAGCACCGCCUGCGACAGACACAAGGUCAGAUUGGGGACACCCAGACCCCUUACACCGCGAUGACCUUGCCCUCUUUUGGAAACCGCAGAAAAACCCUCUGUUCUCACGCCCACCCCUCUGCCCAGCGCGUCCCGGGCCUCACUCGGGUCAGCCAGCGGACAUUGCUCAGCGCUGCCAUGUUCUGCCGAGGGAGUCGCCGGGGAAGUGACGCCGGAAGCGAGCGCGGUCGUGGGAGCUAGACUUCCUGUCAGACCUGGCAAGCUCGGUGAUUCUUUCUCCCCUACCAAUGUCAGGGUGUACCGAUUCAUUUAGGUUCUGCCCUUCGGUUUGGUAAUGUACGGUCACAGAACACACAACCAGUUUGUCUGUCUGCUUUAUUUUCAUUCGUCAGAUUUAAUUUCUCUUGAAAUUAAACAUCCAAGAAUAUGUGGCCAUUUAUUGAACAAGAACGUGAGUUUAACAAUAAAAUUGAGAAGUCUUGGGAAUCUGAA